GGUGAGAUGGCUCAGUGGGUAAGAGCACCCGACUGCUAUUCCGAAGGUCCAGAGUUCAAAUCCCAGCAACCA
rnacentral:tRNA from 1 species